rnacentral:rRNA from 1 species
CACGUAUUUAGCCGGUGCUUCUUGGUCAGGUACCGUCAUUUUCUUCCCUGCUGAUAGAGCUUUACAUACCGAGGUACUUCUUCACUCACGCGGCGUUGCUGCAUCAGGGUUCCCCCCAUUGUGCAAUAUUCCCCACUGCUGCCUCCCGUAGGAGUUUGGGCCGUGUCUCAGCCCCAAUGUGGCCGUUCGCUCUCUCAAGCCGGCUACUGAUCGUUGCUUUGGUGGCCGUUACCCCCGCAACUGGCUAAUCAGACGCGGGCCCACCCUGUACCGCCGCAGCUUUUCCUGCCGGGCCAUGCGGCCCCGCAGGCUUAUGCGGUAUUAGCAGCCGUUUCCGGCUGUUGUCCCCCUGUACAGGGCAGGUUACCCACGCGUUACUCACCCGUCCGCCACUAAGUCCGUGCCGUCUUCCCUCCGAAGAGUUCCGUCGGCACGGCUUCGUUCGACUUGCAUGUGUUAGGCACGCCGCCAGCGUUCAUCCUGAGCCAGGAUCAAACUCU